CUGUUUCAGUCCCGAGUUAGGUCUGUGGGGCCGGGAGCUUCUCUGUCAGAUUCUGUGCAAAUAUCCUGACUUAACAACAGGCUCCGUGGCAAAAGCCAAUGCCUCAUAGUGAAAGAGGCCCACUCAAAUGAAAUGCCAACCUGUCCUUGGAGGCACAGCCCUGACCAGCAGAUGAUGGGAUUAGCAGUUUGUCCUGUGCUAUAAGUAGGCUGCCCUGCAUCUUGCCCGGCUCAGGGUGCCCAGGGAUGACCUGGCACUGCAGGGGUCUGCUGAGCAGCUGGCCUGGGAUGGCAAAAAAUGAGAAACUGGAGUAAGAUUGUUGGGUUUCCUGAACUGCCUGUUUUCUGGGAAGGAUGGCAGAACUGUCGAAAAUUUAGGAUGCCACUGGUUAUGUCAUCAAGGCUGUUUAUAUCGGUGAAAUAAAACUGAAAAUCAACUGAAGAAGUCUGAACUGAUGAGUGAUGACUGCCUGGUGUUGGAGUAGUGGUUC